CAACUUGGUGAAUACUAAUGCAAAGCAUCCUACAUAAACAUGGCAUUAAUGAUGCAUGAAUCAUGCUAAAACAUUCAUUAACUUGAAAACAAAGUUCUGUUCCACUCACCUCUGUCAACUGCUGAGCAGUCUCUGUAACUCUAACUCUGUGGGCCUCCUUGGUCUCUCGGGUCCGCACCUACACAGGUGGACUCAAAUGAGGACCAAACUUACUUAAACAUAACUCUUAAUAUCUCCCCAAAACCCCUCUAAAACAUCAUA
rnacentral:lncRNA from 1 species